GACGAACGCUGGCGGCGUGCCUAAUACAUGCAAGUCGAACGCAGUGGGGACGGGUGAGUAACACGUGGGUAACCUCCCCUCAGAGGGGAUAACACUUUGAAACAGGUGCUCAACCGAUACGGUUGGCUGGACCCGCGGGGCAUUCGCUAGUUGGUGAGGUAACGGCUCACCAAGGCCACUAUGCAUAGCCGAACUGAGAGGGGGACCGGCCAAACUGGGACUGAGACACGGCCCAGACUCCUACGGGAGGCAGCAGAAGGGAAUAUUCGGCAAUGGACGAAAGUCUGACCGAGCAACGACGCGUGAGUGAAGAAGGUUUUCGGAUCGUAAAACUCUGUUGUUAGAGAAGCGGUAUCUAACCAGAAAGCCACGGCUAACUACGUGCCAGCAGCCGCGGUAAUUC
rnacentral:rRNA from 1 species